rnacentral:lncRNA from 1 species
ACACAGCCACCACUAGUUAACUCGUAUACAUUGAUUCUCCUGUGGGGCUGGGCAGAUGAGGAAUCUUUUGUUCUCUUCCCUGUUUGCAGAGAUUUUUUUUGAGGUUACUUUCCGAGUUCUGGCAAGUACCCCUGCUUCUGGUAGCUUUGUGUCUCGAUUCAAUCUCAUUCUUUUUAUUUUAUUUUAUUUUUGAGACAGGGUCUCACUUUGUCACCCAAGCUGGAGUGCAGUGGUGUAAUCUUGGCUCACUGUAGCCUCCACCUCUUGGGUUCAAGCGAUCCUCCUGCCUCAGCCCCCCAAGUAGCUGGGAUUACAGACGUCUGCCACCACGCCAGGCUAAUUUAUGGUUUUUUGUAUGUGUUUUUUGUGUUUUUGUAGAGACAGUGUUUCCCCAUGUUGCCCAGGCUGGUCUCCAACUCCUGAGCUCAAGUGAUCUGCCCGCCUCAGCCUUUCAAAGUGCUAGGAUUACAGGUGUGAGCCACCGUGCCCGGACUUAAUCCCAUUCUUUAACUUGUUUUGUUUUGUCCUCUCCAGGAGGCUCCCAGCCCUUUCGGAUUGG